rnacentral:tRNA from 1 species
GGUGGGUUGGCUCAGUGGUUAGAGCUUAGGUCUUGUAACCGAAAGGUCGCGGGAUCGAAACCCUCCAGAGGCUG